rnacentral:rRNA from 1 species
UACGUAGGGGGCAAGCGUUGUCCGGAUUUAUUGGGCGUAAAGAGCGUGUAGGCGGUUUGGUAGGUCCGUUGUGAAAACUCGAGGCUCAACCUCGAGACGCCGAUGGAAACCAUCAGACUAGAGUCCGGAAGAGGAGAGUGGAAUUCCUGGUGUAGCGGUGAAAUGCGCAGAUAUCAGGAAGAACACCCGUGGCUAAGGCGGCUCUCUAGUACGGUACUGACGCUGAGACACGAAAGCGUGGGUAGCAAACAGG